rnacentral:rRNA from 1 species
CAUGCAAGUCGAGCGGGGGUUUUCGGACCUAGCGGCGGACGGGUGAGUAAUGCGUAGGAAGCUACCCGACAGAGGGGGAUACCAGUUGGAAACGACUGUUAAUACCGCAUAAAUGUCUACGGACCAAAGUNUGGGACCUUGGGCCACAUGCUGUCGGAUGCGCCUACGUGGGAUUAGCUAGUUGGUGAGGUAAUGGCUCACCAAGGCGACGAUCCCUAGCUGGUUUGAGAGGAUGAUCAGCCACACUGGAACUGAGACACGGUCCAGACUCCUACGGGAGGCAGCAGUGGGGAAUAUUGGACAAUGGGCGCAAGCCUGAUCCAGCCAUGCCGCGUGUGUGAAGAAGGCCUCGGGUUGUAAAGCACUUUCAGCGAGGAGGAAGAGUUGUGUGUUAAUAGUACACAGCUUUGACGUUACUCGCAGAAGAAGCACCGGCUAACUCUGUG